rnacentral:rRNA from 1 species
GUCUACGGCUAUACCACCCUGAACACAUCUGAUCUUGGAAGCUAAGCAGGGUCAGCCUGAUUACUACUUGGAUGAGAGAUUUUGGUGGGUUUUAGCUGGCUUCUUCU